rnacentral:rRNA from 1 species
UACAGAGGUCUCGAGCGUUGUUCGGAUUUAUUGGGCGUAAAGGGUGCGUAGGCGGUGUGGCAAGUCAAGUGUGAAAUCUCGGAGCUCAACUUCGAAACUGCACUUGAUACUACUAUGCUAGAGGGUUGUAGAGGAGACCGGAAUUCACGGUGUAGCAGUGAAAUGCGUAGAUAUCGUGAGGAAGACCAGUUGCGAAAGCGGGUCUCUGGGCAAUUCCUGACGCUGAGGCACGAAGGCGAGGGAAGCAAACGGG